rnacentral:tRNA from 1 species
GCGGAAGUGGCGGAACUGGCAGACGCGCUAGCUUCAGGAGCUAGUGGGGUCACACCCGUGGAGGUUCAACUCCUCUCUUCCGCA